rnacentral:rRNA from 1 species
GCAGCUUACACAUGCAGUCGAGCGUGAAAGGGCUUCGGCCUGAGUAAAGCGGCGGACGGGUGAGUAACGCGUAGGAAUCUACCUGGUAGUGGGGGAUAACGUUCCGAAAGGAACGCUAAUACCGCAUACGUUCUGAGGAAGAAAGCAGGGGACCGCAAGGCCUUGCGCUAUCAGAUGAGCCUGCGUCCGAUUAGCUAGUUGGUGGGGUAAAGGCCUACCAAGGCGACGAUCGGUAACUGGUCUGAGAGGAUGAUCAGUCACACUGGAACUGAGACACGGUCCAGACUCCUACGGGAGGCAGCAGUGGGGAAUAUUGGACAAUGGGGGCAACCCUGAUCCAGCCAUGCCGCGUGUGUGAAGAAGGCCUUCGGGUUGUAAAGCACUUUAAGCUGGGAGGAAGGCUCCAUGGCUAAUACCCAUGGGGAUUGACGUUACCAGCAGAAUAAGCACCGGCAAACUUCGUGCCAGCAGCCGCGGUAAUACGAAGGGUGCGAGCGUUAAUCGGAAUUACUGGGCGUAAAGCGCGCGUAGGUGGUUUUGUAAGCGAAAUGUGAAAUCCCCGGGCUCAACCUGGGAACUGCAUGUCGAACUGCAAGGCUAGAGUAUAGUAGAGGAGUGUGGAAUUCCCGGUGUAGCGGUGAAAUGCGUAGAUAUCGGGAGGAACAUCAGUGGCGAAGGCGGCACUCUGGACUGAUACUGACACCGAGGCGCGAAAGCGUGGUAGCGAACAGGAUUAGAUACCCUGGUAGUCCACGCCGUAAACGAUGUCUGCUAGCCGUUG